UACGUAGGGGGCAAGCGUUGUCCGGAAUUAUUGGGCGUAAAGCGCGCGCAGGUGGUGGUUUAAGUCUGAUGUGAAAGCCCACGGCUCAACCGUGGAAGGUCAUUGGAAACUGGAUCACUUGAGUGCAGGAGAGGAAAGUGGAAUUCCACGUGUAGCGGUGAAAUGCGUAGAUAUGUGGAGGAACACCAGUGGCGAAGGCGACUUUCUGGCCUGUAACUGACACUGAGGCGCGAAAGCGUGGGGAGCAAACAGG
rnacentral:rRNA from 1 species